AUUGAACGCUGGCGGCAGGCUUAACACAUGCAAGUCGAGCGGAGAUGAGGUGCUUGCACCUUAUCUUAGCGGCGGACGGGUGAGUAAUGCUUAGGAAUCUGCCUAUUAGUGGGGGACAACAUUCCGAAAGGAAUGCUAAUACCGCAUACGCCCUACGGGGGAAAGCAGGGGAUCUUCGAACCUUGCGCUAAUAGAUGAGCCUAAGUCGGAUUAGCUAGUUGGUGGGGUAAAGGCCUACCAAGGCGACGAUCUGUAGCGGGUCUGAGAGGAUGAUCCGCCACACUGGGACUGAGACACGGCCCAGACUCCUACGGGAGGAAGCAGUGGGGAAUAUUGGACAAUGGGCGGAAGCCUGAUCCAGCCAUGCCGCGUGUGUGAAGAAGGCCUUUUGGUUGUAAAGCACUUUAAGCGAGGAGGAGGCUACCUGGAUUAAUACUCUAGGGUAGUGGACGUUACUCGCAGAAUAAGCACCGGCUAACUCUGUGCCAGCCGCCGCAGUAAUAC
rnacentral:rRNA from 1 species